AUUGAACGCUGGCGGCAUGCUUUACACAUGCAAGUCGAACGGUAACAGGUUAAGCUGACGAGUGGCGAACGGGUGAGUAAUGCAUCGGAACGUGCCCGAUCAUGGGGGAUAACGCAGCGAAAGCUGCGCUAAUACCGCAUACGAUCUGAGGAUGAAAGCGGGGGACCGUAAGGCCUCGCGCGAUCGGAGCGGCCGAUGUCAGAUUAGGUAGUUGGUGGGGUAAAGGCUCACCGAGCCAACGAUCUGUAGCUGGUCUGAGAGGACGACCAGCCACACUGGGACUGAGACACGGCCCAGACUACUACGGGAGGCAGUAGUGGGGAAUUUUGGACAAUGGGCGAAAGCCUGAUCCAGCAAUGCCGCGUGCAGGAAGAAGGCCUUCGGGUUGUAAACUGCUUUUGUACGGAGCGAAAAGGCUCUCUCUAAUACAGGGGGCUCAUGACGGUACCGUAAGAAUAAGCACCGGCUAACUACGUGCCAGCCGCCGCCGUAA
rnacentral:rRNA from 1 species